ACCGGCAGCCAUUCCACUAGGUAACCCAUCUGAAGCUAAGCAGGUUUGGGCCUGGAUGGGAGACCACCAAGGAAGGCUAGGCAACUGCUGGAA
rnacentral:rRNA from 1 species